GGGAAGGCUGGGUUGCUGGGUGGAAACUGAAGCUGGGUGGAAAUCUGAAGCUACUGGAAGCCUAGCAGUCCUCAAGUGAAAGCUCAAACACUUUAAAUCUUACAGGGAACGGGCUCCCCAAGAAAGGGAACCUCUGAAAAGAUUUAAAGGAAGUACUCUUCAAGACAGAAGAGACAUAGAUAUUGUUUUAGGGCCCAGAAAGGAGACAGGAUUCUCCUGAAGAGGCUGGGCCAGAGCAGUGAGCCGGCCAUGUGCUUCCAGGGACUGCAAGCAUUGACAUCACCUGCAGCAGCUGCUUGCCACUUUUUCCUUCUGUUGGGCACCAGGAAUCCGGCCGUGGUGUACGCCUUCUCACGGUUUCCCGGUUCCUCAGCGACUUCCUGGCACGGAUAGACUCGGGGUCCCCAGGAGUACCACCUCCCAGCCCUCCCGCUGCCCUCCGCCUUGCCUUUCUUUCUUUCCUGCCUGGAGCUUGAGCCUGAUGUGCAAACACACACAAUCCGUCUCUUAUGGUUGCAAUAUGGUGCUUAACCAGACAGCUUCGAUUGCUGCCCUCCUGGAGCCUGCAUUCCAGAGCGAGGAGGCGACAGAAGAAAUAGGUUUCCACGUGCUGCUGAUGCUGCUGGACCAUAGUUUGAGACUACACACCCCCAUCUGGACCCUAUUAAAAUGCAUCUCUUGACCAGUCACAGGAGGAGCCUGGAAGGGGGAGGAGAAGCCAAGGGAGAGGAGAAGUCAAGACAAGUUGACCUCAAAGGUACCACGGAAAAGUAAUGAUUAACACUGCUUCAGUUUGGGGACAGUUUAUUCAACUGCGGUGAUGGAAACAAGGAGAAAGCCCUUCCUCAAACCCCUCGGCAAAAUCUGCUUUCCACUUCUGACUGAUGGUGGGAAGAAGAAAGACGCUGCGUUUGGAAGGAUUGUCAGAAUCAAAUACUUCUGAAAUCUUAAAUACUUCUCAGUGUCUGUUUUGUGAUUUUUAAAAUUUUGUUUACAAAAGCUUUUCUCUUUCCUCCCCCUCUCUCCUUUUGUCUCCUCCCUCCCUUCCUUCCUUCCUUUCAGUGAAAAGAGGAAAGGAUAACAAAAUAUUGCUCAUUUGGGAGAGGUAACAAUAGAAAGCCAGCAAAAACUGCAUCUGGAUCCACCUGGCAAUGCAGGGGAUGUGGGUUCGAUCCUUGGCUGGAGAUCUAAGAUCCCUUAUGCCACGGAGCACCGGAACCUGCACGCUGCAACCAUGGAGACUGCAUGCCACAACUAGAGAGUCUGUGUGCAGCAGUGAGUAUCUCGAGUGCUGCAACUAAGAUCUGACACAGCCAAACAAAUAAAUAAUUAAAAAGAGAGAAGAAUCUGCACCUGGGAGUAAGGGGAGAGCUUCUCCUUCCAUGACAGAGUGGAAGCCUAGAAUGUCAAAAUAAGGAGGGACCUCAGGGAUUGUCCUGACUCAUCUUCUCAAAGAAGAUAGACCCAAAGGUUGAUCUCUUGCACAGGACUCUUCAUCACAGCACUGCUGCUUUCUCUGCUCCAGGCUGGAAGCAGGCUGGACAGAGCUUGUUAGGCAAUGUCAUGAGUUUUGCUGCAGCUCUCUCUGAAGCAGGGGUGAUGUGACAUGUUUGAACCUCUGAGCUAGCGCAUCCUCUGGAUUGUGCUGAGACUUGGUCAGCUUGGGCGGACAGGGUGGUUGAGAGUUUUGCAUUCCAACUAUGUGCUGGGGUCUAAAAGUCCAUUGUUUUAUGGAAGAGACUUGGAGAUAGUAACUCAGGGGAAGAUCAAACAGAGAAGACUCCAGAUUAGGAGAAAGCCAAAACAAAGCUCAACACCAACACCACCACCAUCAACAGAAGAAAUCUCCUGAGCCAUGCAGGCCCCAGCAGCAAGCCAAGGAAGGCAAACUGGGAUUGGGGGGCCAGAGGGUAACCCAGGAUGGUGGCUAGAUGGGGUGAGUGGCUUCAGCAGCCAGAGGUCUUCCCUUAGGCCUAGGAGGUGAUACAAGCAAUUCUCCCAGGAUCACCUUGAUGAAGCAAUAAAUAAAGGUAACAAGGCGGAAGGUCACUGAAACCUGGUCUCAGCCAGUCCCGGGACACUCUUUCCUACCAUGUAAGCCAAGGGGCUGGCAGAGAAGUCUCCUCAUUCAUUCAGUUCAGUUCAGUCACUCAGUUGUGUCCACCUCUUUGCAACCUCACGGACUGUAGCACACCAGGCUUUCCUGUCUUUCACCAUCUACCAGUUUGCUCAGGCUCAUGGCCAUCGAGUUGGUGAUGCCAUCCAACCAUGUCAUCCUCUGUCGUCCCCCUUUCCUCCUGACUUCUAUCUUUCCACAGCAUUAGAUCUUUCCCACUGAGUCAGUUCUUCGCAUCAGAUGGCCGAAGUAUUGGAGCUUCAGCUUCAGCCUCAGUCCUUCCAAUGAAUAUUCAGGACUGGUUUCCUUUAGGAUUGACUGGUUUGAUCUCCUUG